rnacentral:rRNA from 1 species
GACGAACGCUGGCGGCAGGCUUAACACAUGCAAGUCGAGCGCCGUAGCAAUACGGAGCGGCAGACGGGUGAGUAACGCGUGGGAACGUGCCUUUCGGUUCGGAACAACUGAGGGAAACUUCAGCUAAAGCGGAUACGCCCUGAGGGGGAAAGUUUACGCCAAAAGAUCGGCCCGCGUCAGAUUAGGUAGUUGGAGGGGUAAUGGCCCACCAAGCCGAUGAUCUGUAGCUGGUCUGAGAGGACGAUCAGCCACACUGGGACUGAGACACGGCCCAGACUCCUACGGGAGGCAGCAGUGGGGAAUAUUGGACAAUGGGCUCAAGCCUGAUCCAGCCAUGCCGCGUGGAUGAAGAGGGCCUUCGGGUUGUAAAGCUCUUUUGGCGGGGACGAUGAUGACGGUACCCGCAGAAUAAGCCCCGGCUAACUUCGCGCCAGCCGCCGCAGUAACAC